AUUGAACGCUGGCGGCAGGCCUAACACAUGCAAGUCGAACGAGUGGCGGACGGGUGAGUAAUGCCUGGGAAACUGCCUGUUGGAGGGGGAUAACCACUGGAAACGGUAGCCAAUACCGCAUACCAUCAGAUGUGCCCAGAUGGGAGUAGCUGGUUGGUGGGGUAACGGGUCACCAAGGCGACGAUACCUAGCUGGUCUGAGAGGAUGACCAGCAACACGGGAACGGAGCAACGGUCCAGACUCCUACGGGAGGAAGCAGUGGGGAAUAGUGGACAAUGGGCGCAAGCCUGAUGCAGCCAUGCCGCGUGUAUGAAGAAGGCCUUCGGGUUGUAAAGUACUUUCAGCGGGGAGGCGUUACCCGCAGAAGAAGCACCGGCUAACUCCGUGCCAGCAGCCGCGGUAAUAC
rnacentral:rRNA from 1 species